AUACGUAGGCGGCGAGCGUUGUCCGGAUUUACUGGGCGUAAAGGGAGCGUAGGCGGAUUUUUAAGUGAGAUGUGAAAUACUCGGGCUUAACCUGAGUGCUGCAUUUCAAACUGGAAGUCUAGAGUGCAGGAGAGGAGAAGGGAAUUCCUAGUGUAGCGGUGAAAUGCAUAGAGAUUAGGAAGAACACCAGUGGCGAAGGCGCUUCUCUGGACUGUAACUGACGCUGAGGCUCGAAAGCGUGGGGAGC
rnacentral:rRNA from 1 species